ensembl:miRNA mir9-7 microRNA 9-7
GGGUUAGUUUUUCUCUUUGGUUAUCUAGCUGUAUGAGUUAUGAAAUAUCAUAAAGCUAGAGAACCGAAAGUAGAAACUAUACCU